UAAAAUGAUAAUAGUAAUGGAAAAGCAUUGAUCAGAGUGGGCUGGAAGUGAUUCUGUAGGUGUUCAUCAGAGAGCUGAUCUCAAACGGCAGUGAUGCGCUGGAGAAACUGUGGCACAAGAUGAUGACAGCAGGAGGAGAUUCAGCAGCGAUGGAGAUUCACCUGCAGACGGAUGCAGCCAAAGGCACCUUCACCAUCCAGGACACCAGUGUUGGGAUGAAAAAAGAGGAGCAAACUCCAAAGUCUGCUACUACAGAAACUAAUCGGCUAACUAAUGCGAUGCACAGACACGGUCCGUAUCCUGGUUAAAAUGACUUAUUUCUCUGGAUUUAAACAUUCUUGGAAACAUCUGGGAUAAUAAUCCAUCCAUGUUUGACGUGAGUGGUGAGAUGGGAUCCAGUGUGUCUCUGUACAGCAGGAAGAUUCUGAUCCAAACCAAAGCCACAGACGUCCUUCCCAAGUGGCGGCGCUUCCUGUGAGGUGUUGUGGACAGUGAAGAUAUUCCUCUAAACCUCAGCAGAGAGCUGCUACAGGAAAGCGCCCUGAUCACGGAUAAACCUGCUGGAAAUAUGAUGUUAUGUCUUCUGCAUUGAGCAAAAAACAAGAGUAACAAAAAACAGUAUUUCUUACAAGCUACAACAAUCAAUACAGAAAUUGUUCACACAUUUUCAGGUUUAUACAUCAAAUGCUUAAUAUUACUAACACUAAAUCAUUUUACAUAUUUCCAAAUCCAAGUUAUUUCUAAGGAUGCUGAUUCUGAUCUCAUUAAAAAUCAUCACAGAUGUUCAGUGGAGAUUUUACACCAAUCAGGAUCUAAACUAACAAAUGGAUAAAGUUUCUCAUUAAAAGACUGGCCAGAUGUCUGAGCACUGCUAAAUCCACUCAGUUCGCUCCAUCACCUGAACUUCAUAGUAAAACACACUCUGGGAUCAUCCAUCCAUCGUCACCAUAAAGAUCAUUUUCAUCAAAUUUAUCAUCUUUACCUUCUUAUGGUUCUGUGUCGUCAUUCAUCACUUCUUCCUCAUCUUCAGGCCCAAUGAGACGUGAAUGAGCUGAAUCAGCAUCCAGAGUCACAUUCACUGUUAAAAUAUUGAACAUUUACAGAUGGGUAUAUAAUAAAAAAAUAAUAAUAUAUUUUUUGUAGUAUUUUGCCAGAAAUCCUGGUAACUUUACAGCAUUAAAUCUGCUUUGUUGUAUUAAGCUAAAAUAAUGUGAUGAAAUACUAUAGACCUAUACUACUGUAAUGCAGUUUACUUUUACAUAAACUAAACAAUUAUCAUGUCAUAUGGUAACUAACUUGAUUAAAUAACUUAAUUAUGAUACAAUUCUUGACACCCCAACAAGGACAUCACCAAUUUUGAACCCUGCUUGUGUUGAUUUUAUUUGUGUUGCUUUUCUUUAUAGAUAGUUACAUUUACAAGUUUAAAUGUAUAGUUUGUUGUUAUGGCACAUAUAAAAUAAAUAACAAUAAAUUAUUGAACUCAAAAAA